rnacentral:rRNA from 1 species
UACGAAGGGGGCUAGCGUUGCUCGGAAUUACUGGGCGUAAAGCGCACGUAGGCGGUCUUUUAAGUCGGGGGUGAAAUCCUGGAGCUCAACUCCAGAACUGCCUUCGAUACUGGAAGACUCGAGUCCGGGAGAGGUGAGUGGAACUGCGAGUGUAGAGGUGAAAUUCGUAGAUAUUCGCAAGAACACCAGUGGCGAAGGCGGCUCACUGGCCCGGUACUGACGCUGAGGUGCGGAAAGCGUGGGGAGCAACAGGG